rnacentral:rRNA from 1 species
CAAUAGCGUAUAUUAAAGUUGUUGCGGUUAAAAGCUCGUAGUUGGAUUUCUGCCGAGGAUGACCGGUCCGCCCUCUGGGUGAGUAUCUGGCUCAGCCUUGGCAUCUUCUUGAAGAACGUUACUGCACUUGACUGUGUGGUGCGGUACUCAGGACAUUUACUUUGAGGAAAUUAGAGUGUUUCAAGCAAGCGCACGCCUUGAAUACAUUAGCAUGGAAUAAUGCGACAGGACCUCGGUCCAUUUUGUUGGUUUCUUGGGUUGAGGUAAUGAUUAACAGGGAUGGUUGGGGGCGAUUCGUAUUUAACUGUCAGAGGUGAAAUUCUUGGAUUUGUUAAAGACGAACUACUGCGAAAGCAUUUGCCAAGGAUGUUUUCAUUGAUCAAGAACGAAAGUUAGGGGAUCGAAGACGAUUAGAUACCAU